AACACAUUAGCUCAGUCUGGUAGAGCGUUCAUGUAAAGCGUGAAAGUGCGAGGGUUCAAAUCCCUUAUGUGUUA
rnacentral:tRNA from 1 species